AAUGUGAUUUGAUAACAGGAUGGUAAUGGUAACUGGACAUCCAAGACCAAAGAUAACGUCUUGUAUCAAGUAUUUCUUUAACUGAGUGAAUUGAGGUAUUCAAGAACAAACAGUGCAAAGACUGAAGCUACUGCAAGCUGGCUAAAUUCAAUUCCAAAUCAGAUGCUGCGUGGCCUGCUGAGUUUCUCCAGCAUUUCAGGUUUAAUUAUCAAGGGAUGCAUCCUCAUUGAUGGAGACAGGGAGCUUUUUGGACAUUCAGCCACUUUAACCUAACAUUACCAUGUUGAUCUGUUGCAGUUUGAUACCUGUUUCCUCCCAGUGAAUCUUGAAGAAGCCUUGUCAGUUUGGAAUCUCUGUAUGGCACAUGAUGGCUCUUCUUGCUUUGGUCUCCCAGUGCACUGAUAACAUUUCCCAAUGACAGCUU